CUCUUACUAGAGUCCCCAGUGCACCAGGUAGCCUAAAAGGACUGGUGUUAACACGAAAUCAAUAUGGUAGUACCGGCGGAUCGCCAACUUUGAGUCGUCGUGACAGCACUUCGCCCAGAGCUUUGCGACGGCCGAUUCAUCCAGGUGGAGGCUCCAUGUGAGUGAUUGUCCUGCAGCAUAUUCUUGUUCUUGUAUUCCUUGCAUAUAUUUGUCUUGAUGCUCUACUCCAUGCACUAUUGAAUAUUUUUAUUUCCUCGAGAUGAAACCUUAUUUUGUUGAUUUUUUGUUUGAGAUUAUAGGAAUCAAGUAUUUUGUGCCUAUAAAUAUAAAAUCCAAUAAUUAUUACAUACAUACACACAGAUACACAUAAAGUAUACACAAAAAAAUAAGUGUGAGCUCCAAAUGAUGUUAAAUGCUGCAGGUUUUGUGAGAGAAAUAAACUAGUUUGAGAUAGAUCGAUCUGUUGUUGUAACAAAAAAAAAAAAAAAAUGAUAAUAAAACAGCAUAAGUGGAAUUAUAUUACAAGGAAAGCAUCUGUUAUAUUGCUUUCCAUUGUAUACCAAAUAUCUUUGAGCUUAUCAAAUGAGAUGUUCAAUAAAUAUUUCUAAGCAUUAUUUAUAUAUUGUAAAAUAAAUAAGAUUUUUUACAUGUGGAUAUAUAUGAUAUAACACACAGCGUGUGUAAAGAUAAAAAAACACUAAAUCUUACUUUUGUACAUCUUGUUUUCAAACGCAAACGGCAUUUUUAAUAUAUUUAUAUAUGUUUAAAAAUAAGUAAGAUGUAUAUAUAUUAUUUUAUAUACAAUUAUAUCUAUAUAUAUUUUGGCAAAAAAUCUGACAACACGAUAUAACAUUUCAUCCAGAUGACUUUUCAUCUUAUAUUAACAUAUUGUUAACGAUUACAACGAGAAAAGAUUAGAUUUAGAAUUAAUUUAUACAAAAUAUUCUUCAAUAUGUAUAUAGAUGUAAGAGUUAUUUUCUCUCUGUAAUAUAAAAUAAAGAAAUAAAUAACGAACGUUGAAAUAAGAAGCUCAAA